rnacentral:rRNA from 1 species
AGCAGUGGGGAAUCUUGGACAAUGGGGGAAACCCUGAUCCAGCGAUGCCGCGUGUGUGAAGAAGGCCUUCGGGUUGUAAAGCACUUUAGGUGGGGAAGAAAGGUAACGGGCGAAUAACUCGUUGCUAUGACGGUACCCGCAGAAUAAGCACCGGCUAACUCUGUGCCAGCAGCCGCGGUAAUACAGAGGGUGCAAGCGUUAAUCAGAAUGACUGGGCGUAAAGGGCGUGUAGGUGGUUGACUAGGUUCGAUGUGAAAUCCCCGGGCUUAACCUGGGAAUUGCGUCGAAAACGGGUCGACUCGAGUGAGAUAGAGGGUUGUGGAAUUUCCGGUGUAGCGGUGAAAUGCGUAGAUAUCGGAAGAACAUCAGUGGCGAAUGCGACAACCUGGAUCUUAACUGACACUGAG